AAAAAAAGUGCACUAACUCUCAAGCAUGUUGGUAAACAAUGAGCUUUCUGCCUACCUGUUGAGGUGGUACCAGAAGUGGUCAUUGAUUGGCUGUUCAUAUGUGCCUGCAUAUGAGGGGGCGUGUAUGUGUCGUAGCUCCGCCCAUUCACAGGCGGACUGGUAGGCAGCAUGCAGGAAUAAGAGGAGUGUUUCCCUGGCUGUGAUAGACCUACCCGGCGUGGUGGGCUGUGGGAUGGCCUGGUACACGCUGGUGCUAAAGCUGCUGCUGAUGGGAAUGUGACUGGAGGAGUUGUUGGCCUGCCGGCGCUGGUUCCGCAGCUUCUCCUCUCGCCUCCACUUCGCUCUUCUGUUUGAGAACCAUACCUGCAAUGCAAAGUAAGCCACAGGUCGAUUUUCGCAGCUAGUCUCUCUCGCGCGAAAACAUCUGGGUAGUGAGUCCUUUCAAAUUCUGCAACACAAAAUUGUAAGACAAUAAGUCAUCAAAUAAGUCGAGGGUAAUUCAAUGUUUGCAGGGCUUUUAGUGUGAUAAGGCCU